UUCCCUUCUUCCUUUGUCUCCUUGGCCGUUGUGAGCUUCAGGCAGGGAUCAGUCAUCAACACCAUAGAACUUCAGUUUGUAAACUCAUCUGUUCCAAAUGACACUGAGAUUAGAAAUGUUUUGAUCAGUACAGCCUCAAAUGUGACAGGCUUUGACAUCGAAACGACCUCUGUCAAUGUCAGUGACACAUUUACCCCAACAACAAACACAUCAACAACAUCAACGACCACAGCAACUCCAACAACUACUACAUCUGCUGCAAC